CAAAUUCUGGUUUAUUUGCAUUCAUAGGAAACACCUAAGGACUUUUAAACCUCAAAGAUGAGGGUGGGAACAACAGAGAAGAACCUAUUAUUGGGCCACCUAUCAAGCAAAAAGAAAAUACAGCAAUAGAGAUCACACUGGAUGCAUGGUGAACUGUGGCAGAUGGAGAAAUGGUUGGAAGCCAUGGGACGAAUGCCUAGAGUUUUGAAGGAAUGUAGACAAGGUCUCCAGAUUUGCCACCCAUGCUGAGUGCCGUGGUGUGAUCAUGGCUUAUUUCAACCUCAACCUCCCCCACUCAAGCGAUCCUCCUGCCUCAGCCUCUGGAGUAGCUGGGACUACAGGCACGCACCACCACACCCAGCCAUAAUUUGCCUCUUGCUGUAACUAAAAGGUCACAAAAACAAAGAAUUCUAAAAAAUCUUCUUCUUAAGUGGUAUGUUUAGUAUUUAUCAUGAUGACAAUGUUCUAAAUUGCACCUGCCUCCACUAGCAGAAUGCCAGGAUUACUGCCAGACAGAGAAUUCGGACUGCUGGUCCAGGGACAUAGCUAUGAAAUGCACCAAGGACAGCAGAGUGUGUUUUGGAGAAAGCCAGGUAGCUCUUGAUAGGGCCUAUAUGAGUACUUAUUCCUGCUGAUAGGAAAAAAAUGAUUAGAAAAAUCUCAUUUCUUUAUUCAUUUCUACUCUGAGAGCUUUUUACUUCUAGAAACACGGUCUUAGUUUUCUGUGUUAUUAUGUUUUUUUUUUGAAACUGACAAAAUUUCACAAUUAAUUUAUGUUCAUUCAAAUGUUUAAUAAUUAUACCUUGAAUUUGUCUUAUAAUUAGUAUUUUCUUGUUAUUUCCAACAAGAGAAAGUGUGCAGGAAAAGGGACUAGAUCAGGUUGAGAGAGCCAGGGGUGUUCAGUCAAGCAGGCAGAACUCAGGACACUGAACGGGGUGAGUAUGAGGCAGCCAGAGUCCCCAGACCCGCAGAGGAGGGUCCAAAGGACAGCUUUUCAUGAUCCAGGAAGGAAAUCUCCUUCAAUAACGUCUCUCCUUCAAGAAGCUGGGGGUGUCGCUGGGAUUUAACGUAGAGAUUCCAGUCUUAGAUUGAGGGAAGGAAGGGAGGCAAAAGGAAGGAAGCCUCGCAUCCUCAUGCGAAGAAGCCAGCUUGUAGAAAUGAAGCUCAAAAUGAUCCCUACAGCACAAGCAGUCCAGGGCAUGUGGACUCCUGCUGGGUUGGGGCCAGGACAGGAGAAGAAAGUUUGAUACAGGCCUGAGGCUCGGGAGCCCUGCACUGGCUGUGCGUCUCUACAACCAUCCCAGAGUCGGCCCAGGUACCAGGUCUUCUGGCUCAGAUAAAGAUCACACAUGACUCGCCUGAAAACUUGAGGCAGAGGUGUGCCAUUGUCACAAAAGGCGCUGUCAGGGUGGAGGCUCAGGGAAUGAUAGAGGAGCUCUUGAAUCACCCUGGAGAAAUUUUACCUCGGUCAGACAGCUACAGAGCCGACUUAAUAUUUUUAUUUAAAAUCUAGAUUAUUUGGGGGCUGGUUUGGAAAUGGGGGAGAUCUGUGAGUCCAGGCAUGGUAGCAGGAAGAGAAGAGGCUUCCUUGUAACCCUACUGACUCUUCCUCUCACUUGUCCCAAAAGCACAGGGUGAGAGACAAGAACAUUGGUACAGUGCGUUCAGGAAACUUUUCAACUUUUUAUGUGUAGUGUACCAAAAUAUUUUUUCACACAUGCAAAGACAGUGGUCAGGGGCUAUUCUGGCUUGUUAGAAAAAAGGAUGUGACGUUUUCCAGUCCCUGGGUGGGUCUCAGUUCUCUUAGAGGCUCUGCCUCUCACUCACACCUCUGCUAGAGGAAUGCGAGGAAGCUCUGACAAGAUUGUGAUCUGGGGACACGUUUGCCACCUCAGCGCCAAGGCUGACGUGGGGACAUGGGCUACUCAGUGAACGCACUUUACCCAGGAUACCAAGGGCACUUAAUGAUACCGACAGUUCUGUUUACAUCCUUCUCCACUGCCUCCAGCAUCAUUCAAGGCGUAAUCUCUUGGAAAAGUUUGAUUAGAAUGAAUUCUAGUUUGGCGUAGGUUAUUAUGCACCUAAAUUGGCUAAACUUAGCUUCAUAUAUCAAACAUAAGAUAUACAUCUCUAGAGAUGCGUCUGUGGAGACCUCCAUAGGCACCAGUAUAUAUUAUUCUAAGUUUUACCUCUUUUCUUGUGGAUUACUAACUUUGUGGUUCUCCCUUGAUUAGGUUUAUAUGCAAUUUUCUUAGAAAAUGUCAACUCCAAUUCUGCAACAUACUGAGCCCCUUUAUUGGAAACUUCAAAGUUCCUAGUCCAAUCCUAAUUCUAGAUCUUACUUCAUAUGUUGCUUUUAUCUUCUCUUGGGUAAUGGGUCAUUUCAAGGGUGAUUUUUUUGACUUUAUCUUAUUGGGGAUAUAAGUGCAGAUAAAGGAGAUACAGACGAGCAUUUAAUUUUUUUUUUCAGUGCAGUGAUUAUGGAGUCAGGGUAGUAUUUCUGCUGUGUAUGGUAAACUCCAUAGGAUCUCAUUUAUUCAUGGUUAAAGGCUUUCCUGGGGAAACCAGUAUGCUAACUUCAGGCAGAUAAUAAAACCUGAGGUAUAUGGAGAGUGUCUACUUUGACACAUUCAGGGCUAGCCCUCUCCUGCUGGUGCAGUUCAAUGUGAAUUUAGUCAUUUGUGGUCACUUAACAGCAAAGAGAUCUUUCUACAGAGUCUAGCUGUGCUGAUUAUCAAACUGGGGAAAAUUGAUGGCCAUUUGUUAUGGCUAAUAACACAGGUGCCGGUCAACUUUAUAAAAAUGUAGAAAAGUAUUUGCGGUGAAAAUUAUCCUAACCAUUGUGGAAAAAUGCCCAUCCCACUUCAAUUCAUAGCUGAAUACAUAUAGGAACUACAGUUCUCAGACCUGCAGUGAGUUCUGACCAAUGGAAUUCAGUGGGAUGAUAGAUGCUGCCUUUGAAGCCACCCCAUCAACUGGCUCAUCUCCUCCUGUCUCAGCUCUUUCUCCUGCUGCAUCCUGAUGCAGGACCACUGCACAACCUCACAAACCUUAUGUGGAAAGUAGUGGAGCCACCAGAUGUUAUGGGUAUCCUUUAAUGGAGAACUUUACACUACUUUGAAAUGACAGUUUUAUACUUUUCAUAAGAAAGAAAUAAACUUCCAUUGUACUAAGCCACUGUGUUUUGGGCUUUGUUGGUUAAAUGGUGAGCAAUAUCCUAACGAUUGCACUGAAACACCACUUCUCCACCAUGGGAGCAAUGGAACUUAGAAUUGUAGAGUGAACAAGGUGGAUGACAAGGAAAAUAAUGGGAGCAGGCAUUUUAUAUAUACAAUUAUGGAAAGCACACCAGAGUCUUCUUUCUUUUAAUGUAGCUGCUAUGCUCCUCGGAUCUUCCAGUUAGAAAUGUGUUCUAGGAGAUACUCAGAACUGAUCUUCGAGGUAGAUUGACUCUAGGUGGGUUAAGGUCUGUGACUACUGUGUUCACUCAGCAUGCUGGGGCUCUGAGGCAGAAUUAAAUAAAAAUAAUCACCAUUACUCCUAGAUGGCAUGUCUAAUGUGCCUAAAUUUAGGAUAAAUGGCUAACUGUACAUACACACACACACACACACACACACACACACACACACACAGAGGCACACUUAUGUAGCAUGUCAGUUAUAUAAUACAAGAUAUUUCACUAACCAGAAAAUAAACAAAAGAAGCCAAAAUGUGACUCAUUCCUGGUGGUUCCCGGGAUGGCUUUAUAGUUAUGACCCAGACUGGGUAACCUGUUGUCAGCAAUCAGAAUGUGGUAUUAAUUAGAAGUACUAAGCUGAGGGAUUACCAGCCCCCGGGCCAGAAGCAGAAUCUAUAAUAUUUAAACAACAAUAUGUGAGUAGUGUAAGUAUUAGCUCAAAAAUCAUUUGUUUUUAGAAAAAGGAAAUUAGGAAUUGCCUGCCUGUGUUACAAUUUUAAUGUCGUGAUUCCUUUUGUCCAGCUGAUGCUGUGUCUGCUGAUGUGGCAGCACCUUGCCUGGGCUGUUGUGAUGGCUCAUUCGUUCCUCAGCAGUUUCAAAGUGGCUAAUGAAAUUCAGGCAACCUCCCCUCAGAGUUUCUUGGUCCACCAGUUCUUCUAGUUUUUGUUGUUUUGUUUUAUUUUGAUUUGCUUUUACAUUUCCUUACAUUUAUUAUGGAUGAAUAGCAAUUAAGAUCUUCAAGGACAGAGUGGGAAAAAUAAAAUUUAUUGUUUUCUAAUGUUCAAGGAUUUUAAAUAAAUUGUUUUGGGAGCUGUAGAAUAAGAAUUUUAAUAACCCUAUGGUCGUUGUUAUAAUGCUAAAGAUAAUUUAAACUUGUACAAUAGAUACAUAUUUGGUACUUUCUAAUACAUUAUUACUGUAUCAUCCAUCAUAGAUUGAUUUCUAGUGUAAAUAGAAUGUAAUUCUGUUUAGGUAUGGAACAAAUUACUUCCGCCAUAAUGGUAUAAAUAAUUGUGAGAGAAAUUGAUUUAUAAGAAAGAAGUGUGAUCCUAGAAUCCAAAUAUAUUAGUGCAAGAAUUUACAGGUAUUCUAAAAUAGUUUCUUUACCCUAUAGGUGAAAUCUCAAAUCUGGUUUCAGAUUCCUCAGCAAUGUUUCUUGAUCUUAUCUAUCCAAAAAUACAUCAUUAGUUACCAGUACUUCUUUUGCAUUCUAGUCCAUUAUUCUCACGGAGCAUUUCAGGACUAUUUUCAAAUUUUAAUUUAACUUUCUUCCACCAACCAUAAAAUAUCCUUACUGCUAUCUCAAUCAAUUAAUCUUCCUAGCCCCUUCUUAUCUCUAUUUAUUUUUAUAAAACAUGUAUAGCUGCAACCACACAAAUACAACAACAAAAAAUGCGGACAUUUAUUUUAGCAAAAUUUACAUAUAAAUAUUGUUAACAUAAAAUGUGAUUUAGACAGAAAAAGACCACCCAAUUUUUUAUUUGAUCCUAUUGGCAUUAUGGAUUAGGAUUUAUAGUGAAAUUUAUGCUGAAUGAAAAUGAUUUAAGUUCUGAAAAUGUCACAUGAAAAAAUAAUAACCUAUUCAUUGAACAUGAGUAGGUACUAUUGUAUAUGCAUAUGUAUACGUAUACGUAUACGUAUAUGUAUAUAAGCCUGUGUGAAUAUUUGUAGCAACUUGGUUCAUAAUUACUAAAAAAUAAGAUAUCCUCCUUACCUUUUUAAUAUCUGUAGGACAUGUAGUUAUAGUUUCUUUUUCAAUCCUGAUAUUGGUAAUUUGUGUUUUCUCCUUUUCUUUUUCUUGUUCUGCCUCACUAAAAUUAUUGGUUUAAUUAAUUUUUAAGAAAAUCACUUUUAGCUUUUUUUUCUUUUUAUGUUUAACAGCUUUAUUGAGAUAUAAUUCAUAUACCAUAAAGCUCACCCACUGUAAGUCUACCACUUGUCUUAGUCCACUUGGGCUGCUAUAACAACAAUUCCAGAAACUGGCUGGUUUGUAAAGAACAUAAAUUUAUUUAUUACAGUUCUAGAAGCUGGGAAGUUCAAGACGGAAUGAAUUAACAGCCUGUCAUAUACCCAUACAAUGGAAUACUUAGUAUUCAAAAAGAAAAAGAAAAAUACUAUCAAUUUACACAACAAUUUGAAUGAAUUUUAAAUGCAUUUUGUUAGGUGAAACAAUCUAAACCCAGAAGGCCACAUAUAGCAUGAUUUCAUUUGUAUGACAAUAAGAAAAAAAUCAAAAUGAUAGAGGCAGAAUAUAAUUCAGCGGUUAGUGAGAAUAAAGGGAUUAAUUCUAAAGAAAAUGUUUAUAAUAAAAACACUGUUCUGUAUGAUAUAAUGGUGCUUGAUAAAAACUACAUUUGUUUGUCAAAACCAAUAGAAAUGUACAUUAUACAUUUUACUGUGUACAAUUUUUUAAAAAGCAGGAUGUCAGUGGAUCCAAGAAUAAAAUGUACUCUGCAAAAAAUUAGCCUAAAUGCAUUAAAUAUGUCACUUAAGAGGGCGUAGAGAAAGGAAGUGACCUAAAUUCCUUUGGAAAACAGUAUCUCCAGUGAACACCAGGAAGCUAAGAAUAAAAGAAACUGUACAAAAACAUUGUACCCUAGUUGGCAAACUUUCUUCUUACAGGGAUAUAUGUUGCCAAUUCUGAAACUAUUUUACACAUAUACUAGAGUUGAAGAAAUAAGGAAAUAAAUCAUAAAUAACAGGGGCUAGGAUUCUCACUUUCAGAAGAAGAAGUUACUCAUAAACAUCAUGGACAAAUAAAAUCAAUCCUAUGGUGCUGAAUUAGCUUUGGAAGUAUCAGUAUAAGCUCAUUUAUCUUAAUGUAUAUUUAGAUAACACACAAAUAAAUACAAAUAUGAAUGUAUACCUGGGCUGCUAUACAUACCUGUAUCUCUUAGCUCUGUUUGCCAAGAGUGCCUAGAAGCAGUGAGCCCCCAGCAGCAAUGAACACGCCUAGUGCCCGGAUUUUGGUUUCUAAAUGCCACCCUCCAAUUAAAAGAAACAGAAAUUUUGGAAGAAGAGCUGAUUUUAGAGUUGGGAUGAUAAAUACACGAUGAGCUUGUAGUAUCUUGUUAUGUCAGAAAGUAAGAUGUGCUUUGUUUCUACCAAAGAAAGAAAGAAAGAAAAAAGAUAGAGGCAUUUCUAAAGGACACAGAAGAUAACCUAAAAAAAUCCCUCAAUGUACAAAUCUAGAAUUUGAAUUUGAAUAAUAAUAAUAAUGGUAUUGUUGUAGAGAUCUCAAAGAAUGAAAUAUUCAUUUCAAAGAAUGAAAGUUCAUAUUGCUGUAAAUAAGUGAUUAAAUAAAUAUAUUGGCAAAAGACACAAUUCUUUACAGGAAAAUUCAAAUAAAAUAUGAAAAUAACUUCCUUCCAAACACCAUGAGGUGUAGCUUAAUUCCUCUUUCCUGGAGUGUGAGUUUGACUUAGUGAUUCUCUUUUCAAGGACAUAGUCUGGAAAGUUAGGAUAGUAACUUUAUGCCAGACAAUGCCUUAAUCAAGUGACCAAGGUGAAUGCUGUGUGAUAAGUCAUGCUGUGUUGGUGUCACAUAUUCUCACAUUUUAUGUGAUAGAGACACUUCAUCUCUAUGAUGCUCUGAAAAACAACCUAUAGCUCCAAUAUAGCCAUGAUAAAACUUCAGAGACUCAAACUGAGGGACAUUCUACAAAAUGCCUGAACCAUACUCUUCAAAAUUCUCAAGGUUAUGUAAACAGGAAGAUUGAGAAAUUUUCACAGACUGGAAACUAAGGAGACAUGACGAUUGAAUUCAAUGCAGUCUCUUAAGUCAGAUCCUGGAGAAAUAAAAGGAUAUUAAUCGGGAAGCUCAUAAAAUCUAAAGAUGCUGUUUAGGUAAUAGUAUUAUGCCAAUGGUAAUUUUUUAAUUUUGCAUUAAUUUAAUAAUUUUGGAUUACAGUUGUGUAAAAUGUUAACAUUAGGGGAAGCUAAGGGAACGUCCCUGGGAACUCUUCAUACUAUCUUUGCAAUUCUUCAGUGAAUCUAGCAUUAUUCAAAAAUUUUUUAAAAGUUUAAAAUGUCUGAAAAGUAUAUUUCUUAUAUAUCAAGUACAACAUGUUUAUAAUUUGAGAAACUUUAAAUAUAUGUCAUGGAAAUGACCUGAGAUGAUUAUCACCCUGCAUGUUCAGGGCUUCAAUGUGAGUUUAGUUUAUGCAUUAAGUCCUCUAAAGAAAGCAACUAUAAAUAUUAAUCAGAACUCUUCUCUGACCUAUAUCAUAAUUUAAUAUAACAUUCUACAUUUAGAAGGGAACUUAAAUAAAAUCUUUUCAAAUUCCUUAUACAAUAUUGUAAAGAUCUCUUUCAAUGCUUACAGACACAGGCAUGUGUCAUUAUCCAACACUCGGUUCAGAAAAUCUUUUUAUUGAGCUAACACAAAUAUGAAUUUCAUUUUUAUCCACUAUGUCACUCUAAGCUUCUUAUUUUGACAGAAAAUAAAUCAAUUAAAUAGCUGUAGCACUUGUAUGUGCACAUCACAAGGGUAAAUAAUCCCAAGCAUUUUUUGUUUGUUUCAAGAACCCUUGUCACUCUUUAAACUGCAUUUAAAAAUCUUUAUGUAUUCCUCACAGUGUCUUACAAUUGGAACGAAAUGUAUUAUACCCAUUGUUGUUUGAUUGAUCAAGAUUUAAGAGGAACCAGAGAGCUCUUAUCUACAUAUUUUCAUUCUGUACCAUAACCUAAAUUACCAUAAGCUCAUCACACUAUUGAAAAAUAUUGAUGUUGUAUACUCAAAUUACUUCCACCUAUAUUUCCUAUAAGUAUUUUGAUCCCACACUUUUGAAUUAGUUUUUCCUAGAAUGAAUAAAGCUUUUUAGUUAUUGUCAUUAUACGAUUCAUCUUAUUGUUUUGCCUUUCAAAAUUAUUUUGAAUAAUUAUAUUCCAUUUGUUUCAUAAUCUUAAAGAUAGAAUGUUAUCAAUGCCCUCAGCUGAAUCAUAGAUAAUAAUAACUGUGGGUGAAGGACAGAAUUACAAAAUACAACUUGUGCGAUUCUCCUCCAUGUUAAAGUCUACUGUCUUGGAAUUUACUAAGAAUGAACCAGUCUAACAGUGUAUGUAGCAUACAUGCUUCCAUUUUUUUCAUUAACUUAAGAGAAAUAGUAUUCAAUCCUUUGGUGAAAUUCGAUGUCUACCAAAUGUGUGUCUGUCUAGUACUGAUUACAAGAUUAUAAAAAUAUAAGUUAAAUGUACUCUGUGUUAGAGAAUAGAUGUUUGUCCCUAGUGAUGGAAAGUGCUUGUGUGUGUGUGUGUGUGUGUGUGUGUGUGUGUGUGUGAAUAUAUUUUAAUAACCAAAGCUAGAUAUUGGGCAUGAUUACAUCAGAGUGACUGGUAUAGAUCUAUAGAAUCUAUGCAAUCUACCUUCUGUCUUUCCAAAGAUAUAACAACUAAUUUUGUCCUUUUUAGACUAAAACUUUAUUUCACAUAAUCUAUUAUUUUUCAAGAUCAUUGACAUUGUUUUAGAAAUAUAUUUUUGUGUCAUUAUUUUCUUAUAAACUUUAUAAAACACACUGAAGAGUCUUAGAUUAUUUUCAAAAUGAACAUAUAGGCAUCUUAAAGACAAUAAAAUUUAUAAAUAUUGAUGUAUAGAAAUUAGAUUAUAUGGAUAUAUCUGUUAUAUACAAUUAUUAUGUCUGUUAUAUACAGAUUAUUGUUAUGAUCUGAGUUGUCUUGCCAAAGUUUAUAUGUUGAAGACCUAAACCUUGGUAUCUCUCAAUGAAACUGUAUUUGGACAUAAGAUGUUUAAAGACAUAGGUAAGUUAAAAUGGAGUCAUUAAAUGGGGUUAAAAUGGGGCCCUAAUCCAAUAUGACUUUUAACAAGAGAAGAUUAGCACAUACACACACACAGAGGGAAGAUCAUAUGAAGAUACAGAAAGAUGAUUCCCAUGUUCAAGCAAAGGACAGAGGCCUCUGCUUGAAUAAUCAUCAUCAUCAUCUCAGAGUUCUAGCCUCUGGAAUUGUGAGAAAACUAAUUUCUUUUGUUAAAGCCACACAAUCUGUUGUUUGGGCAUAGCUUUGUUAUGGCCAGCCCUAGUAAACUCAUAAAUAUAUAACUAAAGAUUAUUUAGUUCUCAUUUUACAAAGAUGGCAAUUUUUUUUCAACUUUUAUUUUAGGUUCGGGGUACAUGUGCAAGGUUCGUUACAUGGGCAUAUUGUGUCUCACUGAGGUUUGGUGUACAAAUGAUCCUGCCACCCAGGUAGUGAGGAUAGUAACUGAUAGGCAGUUUUUCAACCAUCCCCUCCUCCAUGUGAGUGUUUCCCAGCAGCUAUCAUUUCCAUCUUGUUGCCCAUGAGUACUCAAUGUUUAGCUCCCACUUACAAUUGAGAACAUGCAGUAUUCGGUUUUCUGUUCCUACUUAAAUUCACUUGGGAUAAUACACUCUAGCUGCAUCCAUGUUGUGCAAAUACAUGAUCUUGUUCUUUUUUAUGGCUGCAUAAUAUUUCAUGGUGUAUAUGUACUACAUUUUCUUUAUCCAGUCCACUGUUAAUGGGCAUCUAGGUUUAUUUCAUGUCUUUACUACUGUGAAUGUCUUUACUAUUAUGAUGAACAUAUGCACACAGGUGUCUUUUUGGUAGAAUGUUUUAUUUUCCUUUGGGUGUAUACCCAGUAAUGGGAUUGCUGAGUUGAAUGGUAGUUCAGUUGUAAGUUCUUUGAGAAAUCUCCAAACUAUUUUCCGCAGUGGUUGAACUAAUUUACAUUCCCACCAACAGUGUGUAAGUAUUCCCUUUUCUCCACAGCCUCAUCAGCACCUGCUGAUUUUUGACUUUUUAGUAAUAGCCAUUCUGACUGGGUGAGGAUGGUAUCUCAUGGUGCUUUUGAUUUCAAAGAAGGCAAAAGUUUUGCUGAGAAUUACCAUGCAUAUGUCGCAUACACGUUUUAGUAAAAUAGCAAGCACAUAUGCAUACACAUAAUAGCCUAUGGAGGCUGCUCAGACUACAUCUAAUACAAAUUUUCAGUUUUGCUUCAAUAAGGGUGAGAUCACGAACCACCCAGUGAUAUCAGGAAAGAGCCCCUGCACUGCAUCCAGCUGGGUCAGCACUCCUGCCCUGACCGCGUUCAGUUUGCGCCAGUGGCUCCCUGCUGGAGGUCCCUAUUACUAAUCAGAGGCAUGAGCAUUUGAAAGCACUUUCUCAAUGUAGCUUUUAAAAAUGGAUUUUUUUAUUGGCUUUAUUUCCUACAUAUUUUGCAAAAUGCUUGCUAUAUACUGUUUCCUCAUUUUACGUGAUGAAAGUAAGAGAAUGAUUUUCUUGUUUUCUCUAACCUCUGUAUUUUGAUUUUGUAUUUAACUCUUCCUCAUUUUCCCACCUUCAUUCUCUGUCUUUAUCAAUGUUUUAAUGCUGCAGUGGUGCGACGAUUAUUUAAUAUCACUUUUGUGGAAUAAUUUUGUGUUUGAAGUCAUCAAUAUCAAGACAUAUCAUUGUGACAUCAAUGGUCAGUCAAAGAUUCCUAAGAACUUGACUACCCAACCUUGUGACAAAUUUGACGACUUCUCCUUUUCAAAUAUUGCCUAAUACUCAUAAACAUUUUGUUAUUUUUUUAUAUCAAAGGUGGACGUAAAAUAACAAGCAUGUCUGCUAUUUUCAUUUACAGAUUCUUUUCCUUGUAGAUGAAAGAGAUAGUUGGUUCCUCAGACUAGCAUAAGGCUGUCUUCUGAUCAUUGGCAAAUACUAAGCACCAACUUUUUAUUACCCUGAGUCACCUUUGAAUAGUAUCUUGGCUAUAAUCAUGAACUAGAUGCUAUUUCUACAUAAAGCUAAAGUAAAAAACACUUAUUUAAAAAUCUAUAGGUGAUGUACUGCGGAGUGCAUAAUUGUUUAAAGCAGCAUAGUAAAAAAGAGCUCUUUUAUCUGCUAAUGGGUAAAAAAUGGGUUGGUGAAAGUUGCUCUAGCAUCCCUGGAAACCAGUAGUUCUCAGUGCCAGAAACAAUGCAUUAACUUUUAACGUAAACUAUUUUGGAGUCCUUUGAGAACUCUAAGAACUGCUAUAUAGCCGUUGGAGUAUAUAUAUAUAUAUAUAUGGCAGUUCUUGGAGUUCUCAGAGAGAGAGAGAGAGAGAGAGAGUGUGUGUGUGUGUGUGUGUGUGUGUGUGUGUAUGUGUAUAGCGGUUCUUUGAGAGCUCAAAUAUAUAGAGAGAAUAUAUAUAUAUAUAAAUAACAGUUGGAGUAUAUAUAUACUCACAUAUAAUAUAUAUAUUCUAUAUAGAGAGAAUUACAUUAUCAUAUGUAAGCAUAAGCACAUAUUAUAUAUAAUUACAUAAGUUAUAGACAUAUAUACAUAUAAUUAUAUAUUCUCUAAAGUUAUAUAUUAUAAUAUAUAAAACUUUCAUUAGAAUCAUUACUAUAACUUACCUGAACAAAUAUGACAUGUGUGACUGAAAAUGGUUCACCUCCCUGGCAAAUGUGGCACACAUGAUGGACAGCGGGAGAAUAGAACUCCACUGUCUCUCAGCUGUGAUCUAUCCUGCCUCUUUGUAAUCUUGACAUUAACCUUAAUUGCUAAAUUGGGGGAAAAAACAAAUGGCACUUCAGGUUAUCCUCUCUUUGGGAGUCUUCCACCCAAAAAGGAGGCUUCAAAUAUCAAUUGGCUGAUAUACUCUAAUGGCUGCUAUUUCCUAAGCAGAUGCCACUGAAUUUCAUAUAAUUACCCUGACUCUACUAUCCAUAAUGAUUUUUAAGCCACUGAUUUUGAGCUAUCCAUUUUGAUUUUGAUGGAAGUGAGCUCAUCUUGAAAGGGAUGUUGACAAGCAAUAGAAUAGGAGAGCUCUUUUAUCCACAUAUACUAAAUAAAUCACUGGAGUUGAACUUGAGCUGAACUGUAACGAAUGUUCACCUGAUUCUGAAAUGAGCUAUAUUGAAUCAUGAUGCCACAGAAUCACAACUUCUACAAGAAUCUCAGCUCUCUGACGUCAGUGUGUUGUCCCGCAGCUCUAGGCACCUGCUGAGGUAGGCUUGGGAAAGAGGACUAGUGCAGAAUCAUGGACCCAUUUCACCCACUACAUGAAGCCAUCCCAAUGAGAAUAACAUUCCUGAAAGGAACCCUCUUGGAUGUAUCUGGGCCAGGCACUGGAAUGAUGUUUUGAAUAAUUAUGAAAAUGCAAUUUUGUUUUUUUUCUAAAAGAGUUGUUUCUAAUCCUUUUUUGUAUUUAAGGUAGUAAACAUAAAAUUUAUAUCUGCGUUUUCUAUUCUCUUAGAUAUUAAAUUCAUUGGUGGCAGAAACCAUACUAUUUCAAAGAAAAAGUGCCCCCCGAGGCAAGGCUUUUGUGGCGGAGGAGUUGUUGGGCAUGGUAGUUGGGUUCUUCCUGCGAGCCACGGUUGCAUGCUGAAAUUUGUAGACAAAACUCAAAUGUCUGUCAAGCAUGCUCAUAAUUAUAUUUUAAGUGCCUCACUACCACAAAUUAUGCAGUCAAGUCUCCCAUAUUUGGGGACAUCGCAGGGGUCAGCAUGUCCAGAGUGCAAUGGAUAAGCCUUGCCCUGGGAAAACCACCUUCGUGAUCAUGGUUAUCUCCCCUGCCAGUUUUCUCUUAUAACAGAAUGAAGAUAACACCGAAAGUGACAAUGUCAAGUCAGACCCAUAGGACUCAGAGAUUUUACUCAAUAGCAACAUUUACUAAUUCAAGGGAAAAGAUAACUGUAAGACACAGGUGAAGCUCUGUGACCCACUCAGGUCCUCACUUUGCUUCUUGACUGUGUGCCAGAAAUAAGAGUCUCUCUGUGAGCUCUUGCCCUCAGCCUUUAACUGCUUGCCGAUGGUCACCAGUUGCUGGUGGUGAGCUCCCUGCUGAUGUCCUGUUUCUUUGUUAAGCAUAGGAGAUGACUUCAGGGUCAUGAAAAAUCUUUGCAGAAGGGAUGAGUGCAUUUAGGGAAAUUGUGACCAGCUACUGACAUCCACGAGUCUGGUUGCUCAAGGUGCUAUCUGAGACUGAACAAACACAGACUUUUCCUCUUUCAGGAGUUCCCUGAAACUCCUCCAACUUACUCUCUAGCUGUACAAAAACUGUGUGCUGCUUCUUUCUGUUAAGAUAGAUUUGUGAGAUCUUGCCCCAUCCCACCAUCUUCUUGCUUUGGCCAAAUUGAAUAAAUCUUUUUUUCGAAGCACCUGUAUGUCAGUGUGUUUGCAUCAGCUGUACAUUGGCGACACAAGCUUGAACUUGGGGUUUUACAACAACACCUGGAUAGAUUCUCCUGAGGACAUUGAGUUUACAAAUGCGUACCCUCUUUCCUGCAGCCCUCAGGGCUUGCAGAAGCAGCCCAUUCUUCCCUGGUGAAAGCUGGGACUGCCUUCAAGCUGGAGGUCGUGGCUGCAGAGGCCUCUACCCGACAAAGCAUUAGGUGUGCUCCUGGAGAAUAGCCCACUUCUUCCCAAAGCUGACAGGACCAUAGCUAGAAGUAACACCCAGCAUCAGCCGACGCAGAGAAUGACGGACUUGAAAUUGACUGUACGUCAAAGGGGAAACUUAACUGCUACAGUGGACUUUAGAAGAGAUGGCCACCAUAGAUUCACGUGGAAAUGUUCCAGUUCCCUUGGAAAAUGUUAGAAGAAAUGCUGACAAUUGAGAAAUAUGGGAAUUCUGGAAUGGGCAUAUUGCAUAAGACCAGAAAACUCACCUAAAUUUUGUGUUGUCUGGGAAUGCCCAAAGGACACAUUAUUCACCAAGGCCAUUCAGAAUGCUUUGGAGAGGCAGGCACCGGAAUUACUAACAAAUUCGGUCAUAACUGUCCUCUGCAUGCCACAGCUGAUAGUAAAAAAGGGAGUUACAGUUUUGGGCUCAAAUAUAUAUAAACACGCCCCAAAGCAUUAGAGGCUAGGUGCAGCUCUUAACUGCUGGAAUCCAGAAAGUGGCAAUUACCACAGUGACCAGCAGGUCCUUUGCUUACUUUUUAAUGCCAUACAUAUAUAUGUGUGUGUGUGUGUAUAUAUAUAUAUAUAUAUAUAUAUAUAUAUACACACACACACAUAUAUAUACGUGUAUCACAUGUAUAUACGUAUAUAUACACGUAUAUACACGUAUAUAUACGUGUAUAUAUAUAUAUAUUUCUGUUGAGUGUUUUGGGUUCCUUGCACACUGGAUAUUAGUCCCUUGUCAGAUAAAUAGUUUGCAAAUAUUUUCUCCCACUCAUGUUGUCUCUUCACUCUGUUAAUUAUUUCCUUUGCUGUGCAGAAGCUUUUUCAUUUAAUAUAGUCCCAGCCAGGCACGGUGGCUCAUGCCUCUAAUCCCAGCACUUUGGGAGGCUGAGAUGGGCGGAUCACCUGAGGUCAGGAGUUCAAGACCAGCCUGAGCAACAAGGUGAAACCCCAUCUCUACUAAAAAUACAAAAAUUAGCCUGUGUGUUGGCAGGCACCUGCAAUCCCAGCUACUUGGGAGGCUGAGACGGGAGAAUUGCUUGAACCUGGGAGGCAGUGGUUGCAGUGAGCUGAGAUCACGCCAUUGCUCUCCAGCCUGGACAAUGGAGCGAGACUCCGUCUCAAAAAAAAUAAAUAAAUAAAUUUAAAAAAUAUAUAUAUGUGUGUGUGUGUGUGUGUGUGUGUGUGUGUAUAGUCCCAUUUGUCCAUUAUAGAUCAAGAAAUUGUUUCUAGACACAGAAACAUGGAGAAAUCUUAGGAAAAAAAUAGAGCUGAGUGAAAAAAGUUGGGAAUAGAAUAUAUAAAGGUCAAUAUUACUUACAUAAAUUUGGAAUACAUGUAAAAAGCAGUACAUGUUUUAUUGGAAAGGCUGAAAUGAAAUAGUAACCUCAAACACCUUAGGAGGUUUGCAUGGUGAAGGAAAGGGAUGCAGCUGAGAGAACAGAGGAAAAGGGAAAAUGCAAAUUAAGGAAAUGGAGAGAAGUUCUUCAUAGACAAGUGAUGGGUGCUGCCUCUUCAGACUGAACGAUGUGAUCAUUGAUCCCGUGUUUUAAGAUGGAAACAAAAGACAAUUUGACUAAGUGGUGUGGUGAGGAGCUACUCGAGCUCAUUAGCUAGCUUGAAAUUCAUAGUAAAAUUCAUGAUGAUAUAUCUUUCCACAUCUGCCCAAUUAGGGGAGAGGAAAUAGUCUGACAUUAUCAAGUGGUGGUGAGUAUGUGGUAAACUGACACUCACAUACUCUGUUUUUAGUAAACGUAAAUUUUAUUUAAUGGAUACCUUUAAUUUAUUUUAACUUAAUAAGAAAUUUCAUUUUGAAAACAGUUUUGAGUAGAACAAUUUUCUAGUUUCACCAACAAAAUGAACAUGUGUUUUCAAUAAAUAUUUUCAGAAAUAUGCAUAAUCUUAGUCAUUUUAACAUUCAUUUUUACUCUCAAAAUCUUCCCAAUGGGAAGAUAAAGUAUGUCGUCAAUUUUGCCUUGAGUUCUUAGGAAGGCAUAUGUGAGUUAUUCGUCUCGGGUUUUUUUUUGUUUUCUUUUUUGUUUUUUUGUGGGGUUUUUUGGUGGUUAUCAAGGCAUUGAAGGCAAACUAGGAACACAUAGGAAAAAGUUGCAAAGGAGUUUGCAAUUUACCUCGUGUAUUAGUCAGGCUUCUUCAGAGACUGGCUCACCUCAUGAAGGCUGAAAAAUCCAGAGGUCUACAGUAGCAAGCUGGAGACCCAAGAAAGCUAGUGGUGUAGUUCCAGUCUGAGUCCAAAAGCCUGAGAAAUAAAAAGAGCUAAAGGUGUAAGUUCAGUCUGAGGGAAAGAAAAGACUGAUGUCUGAGAUCAGCAUUCAGGCAGGCAAAGUUCUCUGUUAUCCAGGCUUUCGUUCUAAUCAAGCCUUCAAUUGAUUGGAUGAGGCCCACACACUUUAGCUGCUGUGUCAAAUUUAUCUACUGAUUCAAAUGUUAAUUUCCUCCAGAAACACCCUCUGAGACACACUCUAUGUUUGACCAAAUAUCUGGGCACCCUGUGGACCAGUCAAGAUGCCACAUAAAAUUAACCAUUACAACGUCAAGUAUUUGAAAACAUACAUAUUUUAUGACACAGAAAGUCUACUAUUAGAUUUAUAACCUAGAAUAACUCUCCCAUAUGUGCACCAAACAUUUCAACUCCUCAUCAACAGAAGAACAGAUAACUACAUUGAGAUAUUAACAUACAAUGGAAUAUUGUAGGCAGUGGAAAUGAAUAAGUAGAUGACUUCAACCAGCAUGGUUGAAUCUCAAGUACUAAAUACUGGGAGAGGAGUCACAAUGCAAGGCAUACAGAGUGUUUCCAAAUUAAAAAAACGUAUAUAAAAACAGGAGAAAUUUUCCACAUAGAGAAAGGGAACAAUAAUAUAAAGAGAUUUAUUAGCAAAGCCAGUUCAGGAACAAGAUCACCAUGGUGAGAAAGGGAGAAAGAUGGCAGGAGUUAGGACAGGCUUAGGACCAUGCAUAGAGCAGAGGCAUGAGAUGUUUUUCAGCCUGAGGGACAGGAACAGGAUGUUCUUUUAUUAUUCUUUAAAAUAUGCAUCUGUUUUAUGAGCCCUUAUGAGCCUGUGCUACGUUAUAUAAAACUUUUACAAAAUGGAAUUUGGAAUACCAUGUUAGAUUAUUUGUGGGGCUUUUUAAGAAUCAAAACUUGUUAAAAUCUUCAUGCAAUACUGUUCUGCUUAUCUUUAAGGAAUUUUAUAUCUAAGUGCCACUACAAGCAGGCUAUUUACUAACAAGAACAAAAUUAAGGCUCAGUGUGGGCAGUGUCUGUUACUCAGUUCCAUGAUGAAAAUCCCCAGGUAACUCUGAUCUUGGCCUCUAAUCUACAGGAGAAAAAAUCUAGAAUGGUGAGAUUUUCAGUACUGCUUCCUCCAAUGCAAACACCAUGCACUGAAAUUACAUUACUCUUCCCAUUCUAGCUACUUUAACAUAUGGUCUCCUUCCACAUCUAUGAUGUUAAAACAUGAAAUCUCACACAGAAGAAUGGGAAUGGACCCUACAUAACGUUCAUCUAAGAGGCUAGAACAAGCUGUGGCCCACCAGUGACAAAAUGGCAAAGAUGCCUUGUUGUCAAAGAGAGAAAGAAGUCCUUUCACUUUGCCAAUAUUCUCAACUUCGCAUAAACUAUGUCUUAGCACAACGACUUUCUUAGUUAUUUUAAGCGCCAUUAUUAGAGAUUUAUUAGGCAUGGUGGGAGUGGUAUCGAUUAAAAUGGAAACACAUGUUUAGAAAUGUAGACCUUUUUAAAACCAGAGGUCUUUUGAAAGACAUGGAAUAACAUGUUAUAAUACAUAAAAAUAUAUAUGUAAAACGGUUAUAUUCUGUAUUUCCUACAUUUUAUUAUACAUUCUCUAGAAUCUGUUGCAAUAGAAAUAUAUUGGCUAACCCUCUAGAAUAUAUUUUAUAAAAGCCAUUUUAGGAAGAUAAACACAUCUGAGGCCACAGGAUACAUUUUAGAAAUUCUAAGUAAGUGUAAAUAUAAAAGUCUAUUAUGGGCUUAUCACCUGAACAUUUAAUCAAGAGAAAGAACAACUGCAUGUUUACUUGGGAGUUCUAAAUUAUGUCCACUGAUGUUUUGGCCCUUUUCCCAUUGAGAGGCAGGGUCUAGGUUACUGGACCAAUAGAACAAGGAAGUGACAUUGACGUUUUCCAGUCCUGGCCCUGAAGACCUGGCAGCUUCCACUUUCACUCUAGGAUCUAACAUUGUGAUCGACACCAUCAUCCAGCCCAUCAUUCAAAUCUGAAACUUUGGAGAAGUAGUCAACAACUUCUCAUUCAGUUUCACCAUCCAAUCAGUCAUGGAAUCCUGAUGAUCUUUAACUUCCUCCACCUGGCCCAAAUAUCUCCUUUCCUCUCUCUUCCAAUUUUGUCUUUAUUCUCAUUGUUCUGUAAUUACACAAUUUUCCUACUGAUUUCUAGAAUGAAAAACUGCUGCAUUCAUUUCCAUUAUUAACAUUCUUCCACGUUUGUGUGUCUUUUGGGAUAACAACCAAGUAUUCUCAGAACAGCACUAUAAAGCAGUAUAAUGUCAAAGGGAUCUGAGAUCAAAGCUUUGUUCUAGAUAACAGACGAGAUUAGAUCUUGGCACUGUUAACACGAACAGAGGCUGAUGAAAGAGAAAUAAUCUGAGGAGGGUAUAAGGUUGCAAAGAAGGAAAAACAAUGCUAAAACGUUAAAGUAUAAAUAGCAGUACUAAUAAAGCCUACGAGGUGGUGGCCUAGCUCCAGAUAGUCUUUUGUUUAGCAGAAUACUUUGAUGGACCAGUUCUUUGAGGGAAAUUAUAUCGCAGAGCCUAAUCAAAAGAUGAAUAAAGAUAUUACUUUCCAGAAGCCAAGUUUUGAAUAGCUGGCCUUUGAGGGUGAGUGAUAAGCAGAGUAGAGAGGUUAAAUGGUGAGGUGAAUGCCAGGUGUGAUCCUGGGAGAUGAUUCAUGGACUCAUCCUGCAGAACCUCGAGAACACAGCCCUGUGAAUGUCCAGUAAAAGGUACAUGGGGGCACGUGGAUCUGGCAAUAUGAUUUUUCCCUACACAGAUUGACUUAGACCCUAAGAAGUAUGUUGCAGUACCAUUCAAGCAAUAGUUUUAGCUCUUUCAUUUAUCAACCCCCAAAAUAAUGAUCGGGCAGCUAAAGUGUGUACAGUUCUGUGCUGGAAGCUUUGAGAAAUGCCCAAAACAAUACGUUCAUGGAAUUUGUGGACUUGCUGACCAGGAGUUCUCUAUAACUUUUGUUAAAACCAACAAUCUAUGUUUCUACGUAUUUUCAGCCAUUCCCAUAUUUGAUUGACAAUAGAUAUUAUUACUAGAUGGUCAUGAGUUAGGUGUAACAUAGAAGAAAAAUGGAUUUCCAUGAAUAUGAGUGUAUUUCAUUAGUAAAAAAUAUUUAUUAAUGAUAAUAUUAAAGUGACAAAUAUAGUUUUACUACAUAAAUUGCCUGUAUAUACAAGUAAAAUACAUGCAUUAAUACUUUUCAGUAUAUUGUUUGAAAUAUGCUUCCUUUGCACAAAUGUUUUAAUCAAUUUGGUUAAUUUGACAGGUCUCGAAAUAUCAAGGAAUGGACAAUUUAGUUGAAAAUACCUUUAGAAAUUCAUAAAAACCAGCAAGAUGCUUUUGCCUAGUGUGCCAGAUUUUUCCAGUGCUGAAUUUUAAAAGGUUGUUAAGGUUGCUGUUAGAUGAAGUUUCCUCACACUAUCUAAAAAUAGAUUAUCUACAUAGCCUCUUCAAGUUCCGAACAUAUUAUUUUCCCCCAAGAACUUAGAGGACAAUCAAAUUCAAAUAAAAAUUUAAAAAGCACAUCAAAAAUCAUCUUGUUCACUGAUUCUCUUUGUUCCGAAUAAAGGACAUUCUUGUCUACUACUUUGGUAGGGAUUUUGAGAAUAGCCUCUGAAACACUUCUUUUCAGAGAGAAAUACACACACACACACACACACACACACACACCCCAGUAUACUCACCUGCCUUUUUGCAAUAUAUCUUGUGUUUUGCUUAUCCAUAGAGCUUUUCAUUUUAACAUCUCUGAAAUACAGAUAAGACACACAGUCAAGGGUGCCUGGCAAUCACUCUUGGCAGGGGUGCAUUUUCCAUAUAUGCUUAAAACUUCUGAGACCCAUGACCCAGGCUGUCCUCUUCCACGCUGUACUCCUAGGUAGGAACUGAAAAAGCUAUGUGGAUAAUAAGCAGGGCCAGCCCGGAAGGGUAGGCUGUCCUGUGCAAGAAGCCUGGCCUAUGGGGAGCACUGCUUUGCAUGGACCUCACCACACUCUGGGGCUCAGCCACAGAGGGGCAGUAUACCUGUUUUUCCCUCUAAUACAUACAACACAGCCUAUUGGAGCAUUUCUGUACUAGCCCCAAAUGUCAAAAAACAUCCUUUAAUCUCUUUAAUCUCUGAGCUUAAAUUUUGGUUUUACUUUAACUCUGUGAUCUUGGCAAGUUACAUAACCUUUUAGUCCAAAUGAUUGCUUAUCUGUAGAAUGGAAGUAGUCAUCCACUGUAUGGAUUUUUGUAAGAUUUUUGGUACAAUGCAGAUUAAAAUUUUUGCAUAGUGACUGGACCAUAGUAGGGGAUAAUAUAAGCCAACUAUUGUUAUCAUUUUUGUUGUUAGUUACCACCAUAAAAUCUAUUUUUAAUAAUUUCAAAAAUUAUAUUGAACAUUGUCUUUGAUAACAUCUGCUUUCAACACUUACGAUAUGUCUUCAAACUCACUAAUCAUAAAAGAUUUAACAUUCCAGAAGCCCAUCGGCCAGAUAUAUAAGUCUCUAAAAUAUACUUAAAAUAAUCUCCCCUCUAAUGAGCCAAGUAAGAGUAUUAGGAGUAUUGUGAUAAAGAAUUGGCAAAAAGAUUGAUAUCAAAGUGGAAGUUUUUAUUUGACUGCUCAAAUACAAUGAAGGAAUGAUUUAUUUCUUUGAUGUAAUAUGAAAAGUGGCCAGAGCCCUUUGAGGACAAUGAAGAACAAUGACCUCACCGAUGUACAUGCAGCCUAUUCCCCAGUAAUUAGACAAAUCAUCCAUUUUUGUUUACUUUGCCUCAUAUUUUGUGCUUUGACAUCAGAACUUGUUCCAUGUCCAAGUUUCCAGAUUUUUUUUCAAACUUUCAAAACUGAACAUUCAAUAUGUUUCUCCUGCGGUCUGUCCUAGCUGUCAUAGAGCACUUUACUCAUCACAUCAGCUGAAGAAGAUCACACCAUUGAUGAAAGCAAUAAUACAGCCAACAUUGUGCCAUAGAAAUAUUAAUCUGACUUCUGCUUAUUAGAUAUGCCAGAGGGCAGAAAUAAUGGAAACAAGUAUAUAAAUUGGAAUGCUAUUUCAAUAGUUUAGCUAAUAUAUAUUGGACUUGCUACCAUAAUGAAUAUGAUUGUUGAGAGAUGGGCACAGGUAUAAGAACUGAUCUCAGGAAUAAUAACUGAUAUUAAUUGAUUUGAUGAUGGAAAAGUAUAAAAUCUAGUAGUGAAGUUUGGAAAAUGAUACAGUUAAUAUAAAACACAAUUUAAAAUUGGGAACAGGUUUAAUAGGUCUGGAACAUUCUGGAUUUAUGUUCAAGUUAGCAUAGAAACGAAUAGGAAGUGAUUAAUAUUGAGACUAGUGCUUGAAAGAGAGAACAAAUAUGUAAGUUACUGGUAAAGAAUUUUCCACAUAGAGAGUGGUUCAGAAAAAGUAGCACAGCAUCAAAGAAAGAAGGUUGAAAACGUACUUUCUAAGACGUCUGGUGAAGGAGCUAAGAGGAAUACUCAAAAAGUGACAGAAACCUGGCUGUCCCAUGUCCCAUGUCAUGUAAAUCAAAGAAAGGGCAGAGUUCAAAAGAAAUAUUCCAGCAUUGGAGACUGUCAUAUAAUGAAGAUACAAUGCAGUAAACUGAGGAAUGGAAAAAGCCACUGGAUGUAUCUAAUAUGUUUACUACGGGUUUUCAAGAGAACAGUUUUUGUAGCCAGGAUCGAGCAAAAGCCUGGUUGAAAGGACAAAAGGUGUAAAACUGGAGAAGGAGGUGGAAAAUUAAAAGAAUUUGAAAGAGUUACAAAAAUGCCACCCUAAAAUAUGAUGCUUUGCUCUGCUGAUUACUUGGAACUGAGGGCACUUUGGAAACAGCAAACACAGGCAGUGCAGGCAGAGGCUUUCUCUGGGCUCUGCUCAUCUGUCCAAAGACGGGUCCUCCCAAAGGAACUCAACUGUCAUGAAUACCCUCCCUCGGCAUUCAACCAGGAAAGAUUAAAGGAUCACUGGAGAGAACAUUAGAAUUUCACCCCAUGCCCAUUCAAUCAUUUAUUCCUCCUAAAGCUGCAGAGACUGAAUCGGCAUAACAGGACAAUCUUUGUGCCCCAUACCUUUCCUCCCUUCACCCUUCUAUAACUUGUGUCACCACCACCCCCCAAGAACCCCACAAUUCUAUGCCUCUCAGCUCAGGAUGCUAUAUAAGCUUCAAUCAUCUGACCAUUCUUUGAGUCUCAUAUAUUAUGGGAUUCUCAUGUGUACAUAAUUAAAAUAUUUUCCGUAUUAAUCUGUCCCAUGGCAAUUUAAUUUUAGUCCAGUCAAAGAACUUAGGAAGGUAGAAGGAAGCUGUUUUUUACUCCCAUGCAUACCUCCAUAAUAGUAAAAGUAAUAUAUAUUAUAGAGCAAAAUACAAUAGAAAGAAAUCCUGAUAAAGAAUAAAGUCCAGAAUAAGAGCGAAAGUCAUGUUUUACAAAAGGAAAUACAUGAUAAAGUAAGAUCUACAGAGGUUGGAGAGAAUGCUGUUUAGUAAAUACAUUGUAGGUAACUUCUCAAAAUAAAAUCCUCAGAUAAAAAUGUAAAAAUUAAAUAAUCAAAUAUACAAUUUUUAUCAUUUAAAUUAAAUACAAUUAUUGAUAUAGUUACAUUUAAACCCAUCAUCUUACUAUAUAUUUAUUUUCUAUUUUUUCAUUUUACUUCCAUUGUCCCACAUGUUCUGGGUUUUUAAUUUUCUAUUUUCUUCCUUCUUUUGAUUAAUUAAUUGCUUUUUGUAAUUCAGUUAAAAUGUGCUGGCUUAUUAGCUGCAACUCUUCACCAUUUUAGCAUUUGCUGUAGUGUCUAGAGCAUACAUCUUUAACUUUUCAGAGUCUACCACAGUCUUUCAUGUUAUAUCCCAACAAUUCCUAUAGUAUAAGAAACUUACAAUUAUGUACUUCCCAUUUUUUAAUCUACAUUCUUUGUGCUAUUUUUUCAUGUAUUAUACUUUUACCCAACAUACACACAAUAUAUACACUUAUAUCUAUAUAUAUUUGUACAUACAUAUACAUUUAGAUGUGCUAUAAACGUUACAAUAUAUUGUUAUUAAUUAUACUUACAUUCAAUUUUAUCUUAAAAAUUUUAAAUAUGGCAAAUUGUGUAUAUUUGCUCAGGUAGUUCAUAUUUCCAGUGUUUUGCAUUGUUUUUUCUGUAUUCUUAUUUCAAUUUUAUACAUUUUCCUUCUCUCUACAAGAUUUUCUUUCAUACUUCAGAUAUGCAAGUCCGUUUGUGACUAAGUCCUUCAAACACUUUGGCUAAAAAAGUACGUAUUUCACUUUUAGUUUGGAAAGACAUUUUUGCUAAGUAUAAAACUUGAGGUUUAUGGAUUUUUUUUUCCUUUCAGUACAUUAAAAAUGCUUUUCUAUUGUUUUCUCUCUUGUAUUUUUAACAGUGAGAAAUCAGGCAUUAUCUUUUAUCAUUACUCCAUACAUAGCAAUAGCAGGUUUUAUUUUUCCUGAUAACAUUUAAUACUGUUUCUUUAUCCCUGGUUUUGAGCAAUUUGAUUGUGAUUUAAGUUGCUGUCAUUUUCUUCAUAUUGCUUUUUCUUUGAGUUUAUUCAGUGUCUGUGAUCUGUGGAUUUAUAAUUUUCAUCAAAUUUAGAAAAUUGUCAGUAAUCUUUUACAAAUAUUUUAUGUAUCAAUUUUUUCCUUCAUUUGGGGGGGCUCUCUUGAUACAAAUUGAUCAAGUAAUUACACUGCUUAAUUUCUCACAGCCCUCUGUUGCCCUCUUUUUUAUUUUUAUUUUUAUUUUUAACUUUGAGUUGUUUUGUUCUCCUUGUGUGUCAUUUUGGAUAGGUUCUAUUGCUAUAUUUUUAACUUGAUUAAUUUUCUGCAAUGUCUAAUCUACUGUUAAUACCAGAAGUGCAUUAUAUUUUUAAAAAUCUCAGACGUGAUAAUUUUCUUCUCUUUGUCUUCAUUUGGGUCUUUUUAUAUGUCAGAUAGUUCCACUUAUCAUUUUCAAUAUUUGCAACACAGUUAUUUUAACUGUAUUAACAUCCUUCUGUGUUAAUUUUAAAACCUAUCCCAGUUUUCAGUUGUAUUGAUUAAUUUUCAUUAUUCUUGUGAAUAAUAAUUUUACUUUUUUGUAUAUCUGUUAACUUUUAGUUGAAAACAAGUUAUGGUGAGGUUUACAUUUCUAUAUGCUACAUAUAUUUGCAUUCAAAUAAUUUUUCCUAUGGUUUGUAGUGGGAUAAAGAUACAUUGCUUGAGAGCAGUUUGAUUCUUUCAGGUUUUACUUUUAUGACUUGUUAGAUAAGUCCAGGAUAGUUCUUGGCCAAGGGCUGGUCAAGUCCCAUUUCUGGAGCAAGGCUUCCUGCAUGCUAUACCGCAGGCUCCAUGACUGAUGAAGUUUCCACCUGGCUGAAGAACGGUCACCUCUCAGAUUUGGGGGCAGUUCUUUCUCUAGCCUCAGGUAGUCUUCUCACAAGCAUGUGCUUAUCAGAACUUUGCUAAAUAAUCACAAGUACCCUCUUUAGUUCUCUGGUGUUCUGUCCUUGAGCAGUUUGUUCUUCUCUGACACUGUGCCCAGCAAACCCGAACUGCAUGGUUUUCCUAGCCUCUCAGCUCUAACUCCUCAACCUCAGGAGUCCACCAAGCUAUGCAUGGGCUCCCCAAUGGUAAUUUUAAUUUUAUGGGUCAACUCAACUAGACUAUAGUGCCCAGUUGUUGGGUCAAAAUCUAGUGUAGAUAUUCUUGUGAAAAUAUUCUGUAGAUGUGAUUAACAUUUACAAACACUUGACUUCAAGCAAGGGAGAUUACUGUUGAUAAUGUGGGUGGGCAUCAUCCAAUCAGGUGAAGGACUGAAGAUGAAAAUUGAAGUUUUCAAAGAAGGAAUUCUGCCUCAAGGCUGUAAUGUAAGAAAUCCUUCCUGAUCUUCUGGCUUACUAGCCUGUCCCACAGAUUUCAGACUUGCCAGCAGUCCUCCCCAACAACUGUUUGAGCUACUGCCUUAAAACACACACACAUAUACAAACACACACACACACACACACACACACUCUUCAUCCUAUUGGCUCUGUCUCUCUGUAGAACCCUAAGUGAUAACUGAUACACUAUACUUAUAUUUUGCCCUGGAAGCUCUUUUAAAAAUCAGACUUACCUCAUUGUUUCUCACCUAUCAGGAUUUCUAUCCUUGCUGCCUUUUGCCCAGUGUCUUAAAACCCAUUGUUUCAUAGACACUGCCAUAUUUUGUUUGUUUCAGGAGAGAAGGUAAAUCUGGUUUCUAUUACUCCUUCUCCUGGAACUGGGAAGUUUUUAGUAACGUUCUUAGGUAUCAGUUUCUCUAAGAUGGCUUCACUCUCUUUGGGCCAAGCAGCUACUUAAAUCUGGCUGACCUCUUUCCCUUUGACACCCUUUUAUGCAUCCUCUGGAUACUUCUUGCUCAGUGCUAUUGACUUCACUUUCAUGGAUAGGAUUCUACUUCACCCUUAACUUCAGACUGCACUAGCCAACCCCCCAACCUCUUAAUUCUAGUGUCCAUUCGCCCCCUUACUGGGGUACGGGACUCUCCUGGAAAAACAUAUAUUUUAUAAGAAUGAUAAGCCCACAUCCCCAAAUGAGUUUGUUAUCUGAUUACCAGGACUUACAGAUUUGGAUUACUAGAUAAAACCCUCUUCAUUUUUACAUUCAUCUGCCAGAAAUAAGUAGCAUUUACUUAUCUCAGGGUACAUGUCAAGGUGCAAAAAGAGUGACUGUGCUAUGGUUUGAAUGUUCAUCCCCUCUGAAACUCGUCUUGCAACGUUGUUCUCAAUUUUGCAGCGUUGAGAGGUGGGGCCUUUGAGAGGUGAUUGGGUCAUGAGGGCUGCCCUCAUGAAUGGAUUAAUCUAUCCAUGUAUUAAUGGAUUAAUGAAUUAAUGGGUUAUCAUGGGAGUGGAAAUAGUGACUUUAUAAGAAGAGGAAGACAGACCUGAGCGAACAUGCUCAGCCUCCUCACCAUGUGAUUCUCUGCAUGGCCUUGGUAUUCUGCAGAGGGGCCCCACCAGCAAGAAGGCCCUCAUCAGAUGUGAUCCCUUGAUCUUGGACCUGCCUACCUUUGGGAAAUAAAUUUUGUUUCUUGUAAGUUACCCAGUUUCAGGUAUUCCGUUGUAAGCAACAGAAAACAGACUAUGAUGAAUACCAUUUUUUCUGGCAUUAACUCACAAUGUCAGUUCAGGUUGCUCAUUAUAGUCUUCUGUGUCUUGGUGUCCACCUGUCUUCUUUACCUUUAUGGACUUUUAUAAAAAGGUUGUCUAACCAUCAAUCAUCUAUCUAGCACCUAAAUCUCUAUAUGUGUUUAUCUUUCCACAUUUAAAUAUCUAAAGGAAAAAUUGUACAUUCCAUUUGAAGAAGUCAUCCACUUACAUUUCAGCAGAGAGUUUUGGGAGGAACUCAAGAACACCUAAACAAAAAGAAACCUGAAGACCAGACAGUAGCAUGUUAUAGCCAAAUUCUGAUUAAAAUGUGUUCUUUGACAUUUGAGAGGUCUUUUGAUUUCUAAGUAAAUGUGUUUUGAUUGACUUAGGUAGUCCUGUUGAACCUGUUAGGUAGUUCUGUCCCGUGUCCCAUCUAUUAAAGCUUCAGUUGUCCUUGAUAUUUAAGAGUUAAUGGUGUAGUAAUUUGUGCCAUGACUAACAAGGCUGAAUUACUUGUCAACACUGUGGCAGGUAUCUGUUUCCUAGUAACUCUUCAUGGGUCAGAUAUUGAGGUCAGUUCUGAAGAACUUGAGGAAAUGAGAGUAAGUAAGGAGAGAAAUGCUGGGUCGGACCUUACAUUUAAAAUUUUUUUUCAUGGAGAAAAACAUGAUCUUUGUGAAGAUGGAAGCAACUGUAAGUAAGCACUUAUGGAAUGUCUAGAAAAUUACUAUGAGGUAACCCUAAGGUCAAUGGAAUGCAUUAGAAUAUCUCUGCUUCUAGAGAAAAAAUAAAAUAAAAUAAAUGCUUAGCCAGAAAAAGAAAACAUGAGAUCAAACUUCUGCGUGUAAUAUCUUAAAGAGAUAUGAUUCACUUAAAUAAUUUUCCAAGCCUCUGUUAUUUACAAGGCAAAAAAAGAGAUCAUUUGAUUAAAUUUAAAUGGAAGUUUAUUUUGCCUUUCAUGUUCAUUUCAUACCAAAUGUAUGACGGUGUUCAACAUAUUUUAUGUGCUUUCUAUACCCCCCGUUUGCAAUACAAGUUGUCUUAAAUAUGAUCAAUAGAUUCAGUAUAUUGAUGUCCUUUGAAUGAUACUGAGAGCACAAUUUUGUGUUUGUUUUCUGUCUAAUCAUUUUCAGAAUCUGCUAUGAUGACACAUAUGGCAGGAUCUAUGAUAAAGCAAUUGUGCGUAUACAGACAGAAAUGAACCUAAAAUAUAACUUUGUAUUAAUGAAAAAAAUUGACAUUUGAUGGCGAAUAUUGUUAAUUGCAAUAAUAAGUAGAACACUGAAUGUAUAUGUAGAGGGCUGAGCAGUGUCCUCCCGAAAUAAAUACCUAUGUGGGAUCUUAUAAUGUGACCUCAUUUAGAAACAGGGUCUCUGCAGAAGUAAUUAGUUAAGGUGAGGUCAUACUGAUUUAGAGUGGGCCUUAAAUCUAAAGAAUGGUAUCCUCCUUAUAAGAAGGAGGAGGAUACACAGAGAAACACAGGAAAGGCCAGAUGACCACAGAGGCAAUGGAACAGACACUCUCCCAAAGCCUACAAAAGGAGCCAAUCCUGCUGACACCGUGAUUUCAGACUCCUGGCCCUCUGAGUUGUGAGAGUACAUUUCUGCUAUUUUAAGUUUGUAGCCAUUUGUUACGGCAACCCUAGGAAACUAAUAUAGUGCAUCCUGAUUACACUUAAAAAUUAAUUAAGUUAACUCUACCUCCAUAUUUCCCCAUACACUUUGUAUAAUCUAAUUUUUAAAUCAAGAUAAUAUGAUAGACUUUAAAAAAUAAUCUUCCCAAGCUACCUAAUUAAUUUUCUUCCAAUAACAUUACUCAGCAUAGUUUUUAUUUCUAAUGAAAAAUAUACAGCAAAGGAUUAUUUAUAAUGUGAUGGUUAACAUCAGUGUCUUGCUAAGAGUGUCUCACUCUUAAUACAAGAGACCUGUCUUUCCAAUGCAGUGCACUUGGUGGUGCACCUCCCACCGCCCCCUGGAGGACAAAGUGCUCAUAGCCCAAUUGCCCAGAAGGUUGAUCACAGGCAGCUCUCAGCUGAGACCCUCUCUGCAACUUCCCUUUGCUAAAGACAGCCACUUUGCCCCAAGACCAUGCCUCCUUUUUGGGGCAGCACACAUAGGAUGCCAAACAACAGCGGGGAUAAAGGCCAUCCCUUUUGUUUUCAUUAGGCAAUGCUCUAGUGCCUUUCCAGUUAGACAGAGCCUGCUGGGGUGGGUCGGUGUGACUGCUGAGGUCUUGUGAGAGCGUGAAAGCUUUCCACUUCCUCCUCUGCCCAGUCCUCCUUGUUCCUUCAUUACCCAAGAUGUGUUCAUCCCAAAAGCACCCCCAAUACAUUUCUUGCACACAAAUAUCAGUCUCACUGUUUUGCUUUCCCAGAAACCCUGAGUCACAGGAGAAAUAUCUUCAAGUCCAAUCUAAGCCACCAGUUCAAUCAUAUUUAGAAAAAGUUGAUAGAAUAUUCUGCCACAGUUUUCUCCCCAACAAAAAGAAGUCUGUACUCCUUGGUUAUUUGGCUUAGGUCUCCUAUAGGUCUAAACUACUGAGCAAUUCUAUAGCUAUUCCAUAUAUUUUCUCCCAAAUAAUACAAGCCCAAUAUAAUGGCAUAUGCUGGUUAUGAAAUAUGGAAAGGGUUGAGCUGCGGAUGUGAAUAAUAGCACAUAAAUACAUAUUUUCUGACCAUAGUCUGUUCAAUAUUUAGGAUUUUGCAAAAUGAAAAGAGAUAAUAAACAUAAGAAACAUGAAAAGGAGAGAAAGAGGGAAAUGAAGAGACUGUGUUUUGAGACAAAAAACUAAUUUUUAUUAACUGUGAGUAUUAAUGCUAUGGUCAAACUUUAGCAGUCAGUGUUAGCACAUGGUAGAUAUAAAUCACCUGAAACAAAGCUUACCUUUUCUUCCCAGUCUUCUCACUCUAAUCUAAAAAUUAUGAAAAAAAAAUGGACAAGGAAAGAAACAUAAGAGGCUUCUUAUUUCUUGCAUGCUCACUUUUAUACUGUAACUAGAAGAUUCCAAACAAAUACUGAUUGCAAAUUAUAUAAGGGAUGCUGCAUUUUGAAAUAAGUUAUAACCUCAACUCUUUUUUCCUAUUUAAUAUAAGUUUUGUAGGCUAAACUUGCCCUCUGAGAAGAUUGUUGAACAGGCAAGUGAAGUAAUUUGCUUGGUGUAAUCUUGGUGCUGAGGGAGAUAACUCCUUCUGUAUGAUAUUUAUAUAACGAGUCUUAUACCCACAAUUAGCUUUAGGAUGCCAUCUUAAAGGUGACCUUGAUUUAUUUAGCUGGUUAGUCAGUAGAUACUUUAUGGAGUUCAAUAUUCUAAAGAUUGAUCAGAAAAGGAAACUUUUAAUGUCCUUAAUGGGGUCAUUAGUGAUAUUACGGAGUGAAAUUAAACUGAAGGACAACCUCAACAAACCUUUUUUUAGUUCUAAUAGCAUACCCCUGGGAAAGUUAAUAGCUAGUAUAAAUUGGUGCCUAUUUCCUUUAUCUCAUUUUCAUUAUCUAGCUUAAAUAGAUAACAGAUGAUUAUGUUGAAUAUAAAUUAGAAGCAUUGCCUGUUUUCUAAACUUGACUCUUAUAAAAAUAAAUGCAUAAACCUUUAUAAAGUCAAGGAGAAUUUUUAUGGAGAUUCCAUGGUACUUUCCAAAAGUUGGUACUUUUUUAUGGUCAAUAACAGAACUGUUAACUUUUUUCACUGUGGAAUGACAGCAGUGGAUGCGUGACUCAACCAUUGAUUUCAAUUUUGAUUUGUGAAUAAUUACUCCAGAUGAUGAAGUGUGAGUUGCAACUCUCAUCAGGAAGGAAAGUAUCAGCCAGAGAGACAGUUUUCCACAUCCUAGGACAGAACACAGUUUCAUGUGCUGCACCCCAGUGAGGACUCUGUGAUACCUGGAGUGAACUCUGGAUAGAGAAAGAGAUUUAAAAGAACACCUGAAGGGAAAUAAGAAGAGAAACAGAAUAUGAAGAGGAUUCAACCAAAUAGAGCCAAUGAAGGAGACAGAGCAACUUAAAUAAUAAGAGCAAUUUUAAAAAAUGGGACAAAAAGGAAAGGAUACUCAGUGCAUAGUUGAUGGCUUAAGAAAAUAAGAUUUUUUUAUAUUAUACUUUAAGUUCUAGGGUACAUGUACACAACAUGCAGGUUUGUUACAUAUGUAUACAUGUGCCAUGUUGGUGUGCUGCACUCAUUAACUCGUCAUUUACAUUAGGUGUAUCUCCUAAUGCUAUCCCUCCCACUUCCCCCACCCCAUGACAGGCCCUGGGGUGUGAUGUCCCUCACCCUGUGUCCAAGUCUUAUUGUUCAGUUCCCACCUAUGAGUGACAACAUGCAGUGUUUGGUUUUCUGUCCUUGUGAUGGUUUGCUCAGAAUGAUGGUUUCCAGCUUCAUCCAUGUCCCUACAAAGUAGGACACGAACUAAUCCUUUUUAUGGCUGCAUAGUAUUCCAUGGUGUAUAUGUGCCACAUUUUCUUAAUCCAGGCUAUCGUUGAUGGACUUUUGAGUUGGUUCUAAGUCUUUGCUAUUGUGAAUGGUGCCGCAAUAAACAUACAUGAACAAAAAAAGUCCUUUUUUCAUGAUGUUCUCUUAUUUCUUGCUGAAAUAAAUGAAAAGAUUCAGUAUGUCCAAGUAUCCUUUAUAGCUAGGACCAGUGGUAUAGGAAGCUAGCCUCAAACUGUUUAUAAUAAAUAUGCAGGGAAAUCCAGAUAUUAGAAAGUCCAAUGAUAAAUCCAGUAUAAAUUUAUCAUAAUACAUAUUAAAAAAUAAAGCAAAUAAAAGCACCAAAAAGCCAACUAGAGCUAACAAACAAGUUUGCCAGAUCACAGAAUACAAAAUGAACAUAUAAAAAUAAAUAAAACCCAGUCACAAUAGUAUCAAAGACAAUAAAAUACUUAAGAAUAAAUUUAACAAAAGAAGUGUAACACUUGUAUGCUGAAAACUACAAAAUAAUGAUGAGAGAAAUUAAAAAUCUAAAUGAAUCAAGACACAUUCUAUAUUUAUGGUUGGAAGUCACAAUAUGUUAAAAUACCAUUUCUACCUUAAUUUAUCUGUCAAUUUCAACAGAAUCCAUUUCAAAGUCGCUGUGAGCUUUUUUUGUAGAAAUUAAAUGUUGAUCCAACAAAUUUAUACAGAAAUGAAAGUACUUGAAGCUUGAACCGUUUUCAAAAAAAUGAACAAAGUUGUAGGACUCAUAUUGCCUAAUUUAAAAAAUUACUAUAAGGUUGUAAUCAAGACAUUAUGAUAUACAUAAAGGAAUAGGUUAGAUCAGUGAAACAGUGUCAGAGUCAAGAAAUUUACCCCUACAUUCAUGGUCAAUUGCUUUCCGAAAAAACUGCCAAUUCAAUUCAGUUUGGAAAAGAUUGUCUUUUUACCAAAUGGUGGCAAGACAAUUUAAUAUCUACAUAAAAAAAUAAGAAGAAGAAGGAGAAGGAGGAUGAGGAGGAGGGGAUGGAGGAAAAGCUUCAUCCUUACCUCCUCAUGCCAUACACAGAAAAGAACUCAAAAUGCAUUACAGACCUAAAUGUAAAAUCCAAUAAUAGAAAGCUUCUAAAAGAAAACACAGGAGAAAAUCUAUAUGACCUUGAGUUAAACAAAGAGUUUUAGACGUGACAGCAAACACACAAUCUAUAAAAGAAAAAGAAAAAAUAAAUUAUAUUUCAAUAAAAUUAAAACAUUUUGUACUUCCAAAGAUACCAUUCAGAAAAUAAAAAGACCAGUUACAGACCAGGCAAAAACAUUUCCAAAUCGUAUAUCUGAUAAAAUACUUGCAGCUUAAAUGUAUUAAGAACUCUUAUAUCUCAGUAACAGACAACUCUAUAUUAAAAUGGACAAAAGGGUUUUUUUUAACAAAGAAGACAUAUGCAUGGUUAAUAAGCACAUAAAAAGGUGUUCAACAUCAUUAAUCAUUUUGGCAGUUUCUUAAAAAGUAAACUAUGAGCUUAUCAUAGAUUCCUACAAUUUUUCUCCUAGAAAUCUACUCAGUAGAAUAUGUGUAUCCACACGAGGACUUGGACAUAAGCACAUACUGCAGAAUUAUUCGUAAUAGCCAAAAAUGGCAACGUUCCAAAUGUCUAUCAACUGAUGAAUGAACCAACAAAAUGUGGUAUAUCUAUGCAGUGAAAUGGUAAUCAUGAUAAAUGACAUGAAUGAACUGCUGACAUAGUCCAUGACAUGGAUAAAGCUAAACUAUACUAAGCCAGGCAUUGGAAAACUUUUUUCUUAAAGGGCCAAAUAGUAAAUGCUUUAGGCUUUUCAGGUCCUAUUGUCUCUGUCAAUAACUCAAUUCUAUUGUUCCACAAAAGCAGCCAUAGACAAUGCAUAAACACAUGAGCAUGGCGUGUACCAUGAAAACUUUACAAAAAGAGACAGCAUGCCCACAACCCAUAGUUUGCCCCAAUCUGUGCUAAGUAAAAGAAAGAAAAUGCAAAAGUCUACAUAUUAUAUUAUUCCAUUUACAUUACAUAUCCAGAAAAGGCAUAUUACAAGAAUAGAAAACGGUGGAUUCCUGGGUCUGGAUGAGAGAACUGAGAUUGACUGGAAAUGGACUUGGGGAAAGUUUUAGGGGGAUAUAGUAAUUUUGUAAUCAUGGAUUAUGGUGAUUCCAGCACCGCUAUAUAAAUUUACUAAAUAUCAUUAAAUUUUCCACUUACAAUGAGCAAAUUUUGUGGCAUGUAAUUUAAACCUCAAUAUAGCUGUAAUGAAUAAACAAAAAGAAAAAUCAAGACUAAAUAAAAUAAGCAAUUGUUCAAUUCCUAUCAUUGGAAAAUGGAAAAGUAAGAAAUAUUUACAGAAAAUAACUUAAAUGUCCUUCUUGCUACUGUUGUAAGAAAAAGCAAAUAUUGGCAGUUAAUUAUGAAAAUAUUUCUCAUGAACUCAUGACCAAAAAUGAAGAGAAAUUUCAGAAAAUUUGCCUGCUCUGUCUGAUUGAUUUGUCGGCUUCUGAAUGAUCCUCUCCAGUCUCUCGAUAACUAGCAAGAUUUACAAGCUCUGCCAAUGUCAAUUGUCACCCACGUUGCAGAAUAUUCAGCAUAGUCUGAAGACCCUGGUCAAAGGGGAAAAUAUAAUAGAUUUUCAAUAAGUUGGUGUUGACAACUAGUAAAAUGACUAUACUUUUAAAAUUUAAUUAAUAUAUGUAAAAGUAGUAGUAGCUGAACUGUCAUAUUCUG
rnacentral:lncRNA from 10 species